rnacentral:rRNA from 1 species
CACGUAGGCACCAAGCGUUGUCCGGAUUUAUUGGGCGUAAAGAGCUCGUAGGCGGUUCAGUAAGUCGGGUGUGAAAACUUUGGGCUUAACCCAAAGCGUGCAUCCGAUACUGCUGUGACUUGAGUUCGGUAGGGGAGUGGGGAAUUCCUAGUGUAGCGGUGAAAUGCGCAGAUAUUAGGAGGAACACCGGUGGCGAAGGCGCCACUCUGGGCCGAAACUGACGCUGAGGAGCGAAAAGCAUGGGUAGCAAGCAGG